AAUGGUGCAGGGCACACAAUACAGCAGUAGAGCAUCUUCAAUUUGUUGGAAUGCCAAGAAACUACCCAGAUACACAGUUUCCCUCAUCCCCUCACCCACAUGGAGGGUCUUGAGAUGGGAUCUUGACCAUACAACCAUUUUCCCACACAGGUGCCCAGCCUGCAGUUCCAGAGAUGUGUGUGAAGGAGGAUUUAAACGAGUUCACAUUUAUGGGGUCAGUUCACAUAAUCUUACCCUGCCCCCUUUCUUUUUUUGUUAAUGAAAUUUGCAGGAACACUGGAACUUUGUGGCUUAGGUUCUAUCCCUGCUAAUUAUUUUCCCUCUGAAGCCAUAAUCUUCAAUGACAUUAUAAUAAUUUCCACAGUCACUAACCUUUGUGUCACAAGCUGAGAAGUAAUACAUUCAGAUGAAAAAUCUAUAAUAGGAAAUGGGCUGCUAGGAAAUAAUCUGUUUUUAAUCACAUAAAUGCCAUUUGUAAUAAGACACAAAGGAUGAGGAAUAUUAAAAAUAUAAAUUAAUAGGAAGUUUUCUCUACUAAUUUUCCAUUUGGCCUCUGUCUUUUAACAUUACUGACUUUUCUAUUAAGUACAAUAUUUGGUGGAUCAAACAGGCAAAAGGAUGAAGUCUAUCUUAUUAGUUUGCCAGCAACAUCAG
rnacentral:lncRNA from 1 species